UCCCUGGAGGACUAGCGGUUAGACCUCGGUGCUGUUACCGCUGCGGCCCGGGUGCGAGUCCCGGCCAGGGAA